rnacentral:rRNA from 1 species
GACGAACCGUGCGAACGUUAUUCGGAAUCAUUGGGCUUAAAGCGCGUGUAGGCGGAUUCGUGCGUCUGUCGUUGAAAUCCCCCGGCUCAACCGGGGAAGGGCGCGGAUACGACGAGUCUGGAGGGGCAUAGGGGGACCUGGAACUUCCGGUGGAGCGGUGAAAUGCGUUGAGAUCGGAAGGAACGCCCGUGGCGAAAGCGAGGUCCUGGAUGCCUACUGACGCUGAGACGCGAAAGCCAGGGGAGCGAACGGG